CCAACAAGAAUCAUUGAUCUGAAAAUAAUCCUAGUGAGUUCUCACGAUCUAUCAAUAAUAUCAAGCAGUAUGUAGUGGUAACCUAACAGAAUAAAAAAAUAAACUCUUAAGUGUAGUUAUCGUAUGAUACAAUCCUUCUAUUGUGAGUCCCGACUAGACGGAGGUCAUAGAGAACUCAUUAAACCCCAUCAUCAAUCAUAUGC
rnacentral:lncRNA from 1 species